rnacentral:rRNA from 1 species
UACGUAGGUCCCGAGCGUUAUCCGGAUUUAUUGGGCGUAAAGCGAGCGCAGGCGGUUAGAUAAGUCUGAAGUUAAAGGCUGUGGCUUAACCAUAGUACGCUUUGGAAACUGUUUAACUUGAGUGCAGAAGGGGAGAGUGGAAUUCCAUGUGUAGCGGUGAAAUGCGUAGAUAUAUGGAGGAACACCGGUGGCGAAAGCGGCUCUCUGGUCUGUAACUGACGCUGAGGCUCGAAAGCGUGGGGAGCAAACAGGAGUAGAUACCCUGGUAGUCCACGCCGUAAACGAUGAGUGCUAGGUGUUGGGUCCUUUCCGGGACUCAGUGCCGCAGCUAACGCAUUAAGCACUCGGCCUGGGGAGUACGACCGCAAGGUUGAA